UUUUUUUUUGUUGCUAAAACAUGUCUUCUGUGUGAUACUCAUACUCCUGUAUGGCUGAUCAGAAAGGUCACGGUAUACCAGAUUCGUUAGUGAAAGAGGUGAAGAGUAUAGCUCACAAGUUUUUCCAUCUUCCUUACGAGGAGAAGUUAAAGAUCAAAAUGAGUCCUGGAGCUGGAUAUAGGUUAGGCCUUGUUCAACCAAUCUGAUAUAUUAUUAUUGUUAUUAUAAGAAAAGAGGGUAGUAAUAGGUCACUACUCAAACAAACAAUGCAGAGGAUAUCAGAGAGUUGGAGAGAAUGUAACCAAAGGCGUCCCUGACAUGCAUGAAGCUAUUGAUGUAAGCUCUCUCCUCUUUCGACUCUAAAACCAGGAGGACUUUUAGACUGAAACAGUAGAGUAAAAAUUUGUUUCCUGGACAGUGCUAUACAGAAAUAGAACCUGGGAGGUAUGGAGCUCUUGGCAAGGCAAUGGAAGGAUGUAACCAGUGGUAUGUAUUUAUACAAACCGAAUUUAGAAUUUCAUAAAGACAAAAUGAUUUAUUGGUUCAUCUUGUUAGUUAAUCUGGAAAUGACAAUGUUGGUCGUAUAUUUUCCAGGCCGGAGUCUCCACCCAAUUACAAACAAGUGAUGGAGGAGUACAUAAGCCUUUGUACAGGCAUGUUUUAUUGUUCCAACUGCCCCCAUCUUCGUUGCUUUUAUGUGGUUGACAAAGUUGCAAUCUACUGUUAACAGAACUGUCGAGAAAAAUUAUGCAAGGUAUUGCUUUGGCAUUGGGCGGAUCGCCAUCUGAAUUUGAAGGUGAUAUAGCUGGAGAGCCUUUCUGGGUGCUGCGCAUCAUUGGUUACCCUGGUCUUACAGCAGAUGAUCAUUACAAAUCUGAACAUGAUGUUGGAUGGUAAUGCAUUUCGCAUUCUGUCUGUCCACGGUUUCACUUUAUUUGCUUCUUUUCUGUUUUUUUUUCUUGUGUUGUUUCGGAAGGUUAAGGCUGAAUCACUGUUUCCUUUGUGACCAAACAAUUAAAGUGGAGCUCAUACCGACUAUGGUAAUAUUCAUUCAUUUGCUCUGCUGGAGUGUUUUUGAACAUGUUAUUCUACUCAUCUUCCAUACUUCAUUACAGGCUUGUUGACGUUGGUUAAUCAGGACGAUGGUAUAACUGCACUUCAGGUAUCUGCAACAUCCCUUCUAACUUCACCCUCUACUAACUCUACGAUCUUAAAAAUGAAGUAAUGCUGCACACUUUAAAGAGCAUGUUCGUUGGUCCUUGUUUAUCCUGUUUUCCAAGGUGAGGAAUCUAUCUGGCGCGUGGAUAUCUGCUCCACCGAUACCUGGUACAUUCGUAUGCAACAUAGGGGACAUGUUGAAGGUAUUUCUCCUACUUCUUUCACUUUUGUUUCUGAAUCAUGCUAGUUGAAGCUGCUCUCAUUAGUUACAACUGCAGAUAUGGAGUAAUGGUAUCUAUGAUUCAACUGUUCAUCGAGUUGUCAAUAACAACACCAAAUAUCGCGUCUGUGUUGCUUAUUUCUACGAGGUCAGUGACAUAUCACAUAUCACAUGCAUUCCAAUCAUAGCAUGACUUGGCUGCACGAAAGAUGUUCGUCAAUCUCAUACCCUUCUCUUUUCGCAUGGUUGUUUGCAGACGAAUUUCGAUGCGACAGUUGAACCCGUAGAUUUUUGCAUCAAGAAGAGUGGUGGAGUAAGGAGGUUGGGAAGAGCUGUGUAUGGAGAACAUUUGGUUUCCAAAGUUCAAACAAACUUCGUCUGAUCACAUAUAUUUCACUGCGUUGUACAAUGGCAAUAGCAAGUAUACAAUGCACUAAACUAGACAAUCUUCACGGCUGAAAUAAAUCAGGGUUGAUGGUAUUUUCAUUUGAGUCUGAUUUGUUCGAUUACCUAAAUAAGAAAACAAGGUGAAUGCCCUUAAUGGCAAUAAUUUAAUCGUCAAAAAGCAAUCAAUACCAUCCUGUCAGAUUAAAGUCAAACAUGUAAAAUAUGGAACACCUCUAAUCUGUUUAAUACGCAAAAAUAGUGCAGGAGAAGAUAACGAAUGAAUUUGCAAGUUAUGCAAACAAUACAAAGUGAAAUGCCAUUACUGCAGUCUCUGACAGCGAUAAAAACUGCAAAGCAGCCAUCAAAUGAAUCAUCAUACAUAUUAAAGCAUCUGUAUACAUAUAGUAUUCCACAGUGUCAAUGACACUUCUAAUCGCAUUGCGUUUCAGGAUUGAAUUCAGAUAUCAGAAUUAGACUCGACCACUGUCGUCGACUCAGCUUGGUAACCCACCAGCACAAGUUAUAGGCCUAGCUGCAUCUGCUUCUUUAACGUAAAGGGGAAUCCUCCCACCCAGCUUCUUCAGACGGUCCACCAUAUCAUACAUAAAUUCAAAGGUGAGCCUGGAUUGAGCAUUGAGGUCCUCUCGUACAUGAGGAUGAAUCCUGAACCACUCACCUAACAUCUUAUGGACAUGGGAUCGAAUCAUUCUCCACGGCACAGGGUACUCCUCACAGAGCUUCAAAUACUCCACCACCAAAUCUGCCUGGUCAAGUAAUCCAUCUCGAUGGCUUUCCUUGUCACCUUCGACCCAUUCAGGUGUACGGUAUCCAGCAAAGACUGCUGGAUUCUCGAGCAGAGUCUCUGCUGAAAGCACUCCCUCCACGCCUGUUUCUUUCAAACAAUCAUGAACGUCUUCGAUGUGACGGAUGUUUCCAUUAGCAAGGACUGGGAUUCUCACUGCUUCUCUUAUGGUCUUGAUUGCUUUCCAGUCUGCCCUGAACUUCUUCCCAUCUUUUUCAUCUCUUGUCCGCCCAUGGACAGCCAACACCCAGCAGCCAGCUUCCUCCAACAUUUUGGCAUAACUAAUCGUGUCUUCCAAUUUCGGGAAUAUCCGAAUUUUACAGGAUACACGGAUGUGAUUUUGAGAUAGCUUCUCAACCAGAGACUUUACAAGUGGCAAGUUAUCCAUUAGAAAUGCUCCAUAGUAACCCCGUCUGGCUAUCCGCUGAGGACAACUGCAACAACACAAAUCACGCUUUCAGCAACAGUUACCAACAAAAUCUUGGUGCAAUCAAUAUGUUCAUAGCAGAUUUCAAAAGAAAAACUAGGAGCAUUUUCAUAAUGCACACACGAUUCAGUCUAUACUUGAUAGUUUCUACUUAGUUUCUGUUUCUACAGAAAAUUUAUCCAACACCCACCCGAAAUUGAUAUCAACAUAAUCGCAAUGAGGCUGCACUCUCCCUGCAGCUUCAAGUAGGGUUUCUGGAUCAUUCGCACAAAAUUGAACAAAUAGCGGCCGAUCCUCCUACACAAUUUCAAAAGUUGGAAAGAUUCAUAUGCACUAUCAGUACAGCCGAAACAUUACUCCUCAUUACUCAGCAGAAGCAAAUUUACCUUACAAGUAGUGAACUCUUGGGUCCGGUACUUUUCAUUCUCGGUGAAAAUCCUCGAAUGCAGCAUGGGCGUGUAAGCAGCUUCGGCUCCAUACUUUUUGCAGAGCAGCCGAAAUGGCAGCUCGGAGUUGUCAACCAUCGGAGCGACGAUAGACUUGGGCCGUCCAAGCUUGAUCCAAUACACCCACGCUCGCUCCGCAUGAGACUCACCACUCAGGUAGCCAUUGGGGGAAGGUGAGAUGCGAGAAGGCUCUGCUGCUGAAGAAGUAGAGAAGUCUUUCUCUCGCUGGUGUUCAACGGAGCAGAGAAUAUCAUCUGCAGUUGGAGGAGGCGGAUCGACAAGCUGGGUGAGGGAAGAAGCCAUGGGAUAUCUAGUUGCUGGGUAUAUGAGAGGUUGGAGGUAGGGAUGACGAGAGAAGAUGGAUCUCAUCGGCGGGCGACGGGGAAGGAGAUGCAACACAUCGCCGCCAUUGAUGAUGGUCUAAUAUUUUUGGGUCAAGUAGUGUCCCUCCUCUUGUAUGUGGCGUGAGAGAGGUUAAGGUUUUGGAAACUGAAUCCUAAACGACGCCCUAGUUUUUGAAUUAAAUGACUCAUUAAAAUAGUGAAUUAUUAAAUUAUUCUUGCGUAAAUAUUGAAAAUUUAUAAGAAGUUCAAUCUUCGACAAACACAUUCAAUCUAAAACACAAAAACUCAAAGUUUCGGCAGAAGUUGAAGAUCCUAACUCGAAGAUACGAUGAGAAAUUGAAGUUCUGAGCUUGAAAAUCGACGACUUUCCGAUCAGGUAACCCUCAAUAAGUUUCGUCUGGCCAGCGCUGUCCGUCUAGAAAAUUACAUUUUUUUAAUAAUUAAAAGUAUUUAAUUGUUGAUAAUUGUGUAGUUAGAAUGAACUUAAUGAAUUCUGAAUUAGUUUAGGGUUUAGGGUUUAGGGUUUUAAUGAAUUUGAAUAGUUUAGUAUUCAAUGAUAGACCCCCCCCCUUCUAACUUCACGAUGGAGAUUUAUGCCAGAUGACGGCGAGGAGGAGUUAUUUGGUGGCUACGAGUCUGAUACCUAUCCGCCUCCACCGUUUAGGGUUUUCACUGGUUCGUCUCAUACUUCAACGAGCGUUGGUGUUGCAGCUGGGAUAGAUGCUCGUUUUGCUCCUGCCACGAGUACAUGGAAGCACUGAAAGUGAAGGUCAAUCAUAUAAUUAGGACGGCUACAGACUAUACUACAUCAGGGAAAAAAAUGUUGUAAGGAAAAACUACACACCUCUGUUAGGAAUAGAGGUUGGGAAAAAAAUGUUGUAAGGAAAAAAUACACACCUCUGUUCGGAAUAGAGGUUCUAGACAUGCUUGGGGUGGGUUUAGCUGCUUGCGGCGUUGAGCGACAUGUUCGGUGAUUUACUUAUGUUACAAACCUCGCAUAACAAUGACAUCGGUAAGUUAAUGUAACAAAGCACAAACCUGAUUUGGUCUUGCCCUUAGAUGGCGUACAAUUGAGCGCUCGCAUGCUCGUGGUAUGAAGGGUUCCGCCCAUCCGUCUUUCGCACACGGGGCCUGCCCUUAGGCGCGUCCGACUUCUUCGGCUCUUUCACUCCGUCAGAUUCUGGUUGAUACUGGGACCGCACCAGUGAAGUCAAUGCACGUACAGCGGGCCUACCUCUAUCACAAAUUGUCUGUACCAUUCCGCUGAGGAUGACGCGAUCUGUCGCGUCAUGGUCUUCCCCCUUCUCAUUGUCUACAGGAAGACGGUAUUCCAACGAUCGCCAAAAGUGGUGGAGAUGCGCUCCAUAGAUUCGAGCCUACAAGUACAAGGUAGGCCAUGCAUAUCUUCGAUCACACAAUCACAAUCGUCCUUACCUGAUAACGCCUCAUUCACCAACUCAAUACCCCAGAGGCUGACUUCAUUUUUCAGAUACGUAAACGGUCGUCUAUGCGAGAAACGAUGAGUCUACACCAAACCAAAAAGCUAGUUACGUACAACAUAACCAAAUAACUAGUGAUUAACUAAAUAUUUAUCUAAACAAUACAUUACCUUGCUUCGUGAUUCAUCGAUGGCCCGUUGCACUUCUAUGACUUGGCCCUCGAUCGAUGCAUGAUAUCCCUCAAAUAGUGUAUCAAGUCCCUGAUUGGAAGAGUUGUACCAUGUUUUGAUAGACGAGUGCUGAGAGUCCACCCUGUUCGUACUAAAAUCGGGAGUCUUUGGAAAUACGAUGCGGAGAGCCGCUGCCAGACCUCGCUCCUUAUCAGCCACAAAUGCAGUAGGUUGCCGCCUACCCAACAUCAACUCCAGACAUUCCAACACCCAAACAGAAGACUUUGUUUUUUCAUUAUCAACGAAUGCAAACCCGAUGCUAAAGUUCUUCCGCACCGGAGUCACACCAACCAACUGGAUCACUGGCUUCCUAUAGGCGUUGGUGUUGAAAGUCGAGUCAAUCAUAAUCACAAAAUACCAUGAGCUAAGCAUCUGGACACAUUCGGGGUGGGUAAAAAAUAGAUGAACAAGAUUGUCAUCAUCAUCCUUUAAGUAAUAAACGAAAUAACCUAGUUCUGUAGCCUCACGCAAAUUCCACUCUAUCAGAUCCAAACCAUCUAAUUUCUCCUUCCUAAUCUUGUAUGACUCGUUAUAAAUCUAGUUCAUAUUGUGACGAGUGUUGAACUUCUUAUUCAAAGAAUACAUGAUCUUAUUCGGUUAUGUGUGAACAGCCAUCAUAUCCCGAAUAUCUUUUUUCGCCUCAUCUGAUAAUAGAUUGCUUUCCGUGCUUACUUAAGUGAAAUGAAUCAGAGGAUGAUUGUGGUACCCCUUCGACUUAUCAGAGUUCUUUAUGUCUCCGACUCCGUCAAUCUACCACCUUUGAUCGGGCGGCAAGUCUGAAUGGGAAAUUACACUUCUUUGACUUCGUAGCACGUUUCGAUGGAUUUGAACCCUUUGAUCAGAUGGAAAUUAAGCGUCAAAGCAAUCUGUUUUGCUGCUUGCGCCGCUUCAUCGAUAGUGUCGUACACAUUAUCGGAUAUGAACCAGUCGGAGUAAUCAAUUUUGUCACCGGCAUCCAUUUCCUACGGAAUAUCAACACCAAAAUGAAUCAUUUACAUACCCUAUUCGUUGAUAAUGCUAAAGAAACUGGCCAAACAAAUACCGUGGUACUCGUUGACAUGUCGUAUGCAUAAACCCUAUAUUUAAAGUAUCCAAAUCAGUUAAUCAAUCAACAUAAAAUUAAAGAAACUAAAAAAAUUUAAUUACAAACAAAAAAAUUGGACGGACCGGGGUUCCGUCCGCUUAAUCAAAUCGGACGGCGUCCGGUUGGUCCGUUCGAAUUUUAUUUUUUUCCAAAUCCAAAAUUCAAUUUCGUACCUUUCCAAUUUUUUCCGUGGUUUGUCGAGAGUGUUUUCGACCAACUAAACCAUACUAAAUAAGGGUUUUUUGAAUUGAACUAGUACGUUUUUCAUGUUUUUCAUUUUUAUGGAAUGGACAUAUAGGUCAUUAUGAAUGUAGGGCAUCGUUUAAUUCGAAAACCAGGGCGUCGUUUAGUAACCCUCUUUUGGAAAUUAACCAACUUAUCAUUCUUUGAUGGACCGUUAGAAUGAGCUGAUUAAUAACAUGGGUUGGGCCGUCACUUUUUAAAUAUAAACUACUAAGUUGAAUUUAAUGAUAUAAUGAUUUAUCAUAUGAUAAUAGAGUUUUAUAUUAAACGAUUGUGUGUUCGAAUUAUGUAAAUAGUUUUAAAGGUAUAUGUACAUUUAUUAUAUGAUUCAUAGGUCAUAAGCUUUUCAAAAAUUUCUAUCUAUUUUGCUACGCUAUUCAUCUAUGUCAACUUCAAUAUUUUAAUUAAAAUGAAAUGAACCGAACCCCUGACAAAAACCGAAACAAACAAGACCAAAUCAAGGAGAAAAGUGACCCUCUAUCUUCUCCAACAUAUAUUUUCUUUGAUCUCUCUUUAUGAAUCAUUUGGGUGGAUGAUUUUAGAUAAAAGAGAUUUAAAAUAGGUAAAUAUUUGAAAUAUAAGUGAUUUGGAUGGAGCUUGUUAUUUUUGAAAUAGACCGUUUAGAUGGUUGAUUUGUGAUUUUAAGUGCAAUUGUUAUAGAGAGAAGAAAAAUAAAAGAAAAGUAAAAAAUACAAAAAUUCAUCUCAUUGUAUGAAAAUUAUUAUUGAUAUUGAAUGUAUUGUGUAACUCCUUAUUCUAUGAAUCAAUAUAUUUCAUUCUUCUCAUUUAAAUGUAAUAAUGUUAGAUUGUAUAGUUUAUGAUUGUUAUGAACCUAUUUAUUCGAGUUUUUGUGAGAGUGCCAAUAUAGCUAGUAUAUCAUUUUCUUAACACCCCCACAAAAGAAAGCCAACUCAUGAGCUUAAAGUUUGCACAGUCCCACCAGACCUUGUGAUUUUAAAUCAAAUGUUAAUAUUAGGGUCAUGGAAAUUCAAACACAUGGUUGUUUAGUCUAAAACUCUGAUACCAUGUCAUGAAGCGUUACAUCCCAAUAACUAAAGUUGUUGGGAGAUGGUUAAUUAUGGGUCUUAUACCAUUCUCUUACAAUGAUCAAAUGAACUUAUAAAUAGAGCUCGCACUUGUAAUAUUCUACGCAGCUCAAUAAAAAGCUUUCUCCCACUUCCUAUUUAUAUUAGGCUCUUGUCUUCCUGUGUACUUAGUUAUAAUAUGGUAUCAGCAUGAGAUUUCUAUCCUCGAAAGUUCAUAAAUGUUGUGUUACGUGCAUAUUUUUUUGGAGUUUUACAAUUAAUAAAAAAUUAUUAUUGUAAUUAGAAUAUUAUUAGGUAAUGUUUAUUGUUAUGUUGGACAUUAGGUUUAGUGCUCGUCUCUUAGAAUUAUUAGUUGAUUAUUUUUUAGUUGUUUAUUAUGUUAGAGUUAAAUAUAACAAAACCUAUAAAAGGCUACUACUUUACACACUGAAAGGGGGAAGAAAAUAAAUCCCAAUUUAUUAAUUACUUUCAAAAAGUUUUACGUUUCUUGUAAACAAACCCAAAAAAUCAUUAAAAUACCAACUGUCAUCAUAAUCGUCAUCUUUAUUAUAUCAAUCCAGUAACUGUGCCGUAAUAAGCAUGUUACAAGUGGUAUCAAACUCGGUCGGUCGGUUCAUUCGAUAAACCUCGCUUUUCAAAUUACGAUGGAACCAACAAUCCAACACCAUGGAAUUAUCGAUUUGGAUAUUUUACUAUUAACAAUAUAUCUGAAAAUUGGUGCAAGUUGAUUGGAGCACAAAUCUAUUUGGAGGGAAAAACACAAUUGUGGGUUCAGGAAUUCAAGAAAGAAUCUGUCAGGGAAAUCAUAUGGAAGGAGUUAAAAGUCUAGAUACAAUCUCGAUUCAAGAUCGAGUUUCCUAGGAUUUUUUGAGAUGACGAUCCGACUACGUUGAUUUUUGAAGCUAACCAAUAUUUCAAAAUCCAUCAAACCAUCGAUGCCGACAAAGUCUUGAUAGCUUUGAUUUACCUUGAGGGAGAUGUACAACUGUGGCUUCAAAUUAUAAAAGAUUCAAAUUAAAAAUUGACUUGGAAACAACUGAUGGACAACAUGCAUUCAUGAUUUGGUCUGAAAAAAUUCCAAAAACCUGUGUACAAUCUCAAUUCCCAUCAGAUUAAUCCACUCCAAUCUUGUUCAACUAAAAUUUCUCAAGAGAACCCCAUGGUGAACACACUUUCAAUGACCAUGACGAGUCAACAAUGUAGAGGAAUGAAGCGGCAAUUGACAAGGCCAUAAACUGCCAAUGAUGUUGCAGUAGCGCAUAGGUUGGCAUAAAAAAAAUCACACGCAAGGCUACUGUUGUCCAAAACAUUGCUUUUGUCCAUCAUAUGAAGAAUGGGUUUUGGGUUCAUCAACAUGGUAUUCUUAUGAAUAUUGAUUUCAAAGAUGCAAGUAUUGGAUUUGUGAGUUUUCUUGGCCGAUUUUAACUUGAAUUGCAAAGCGACCACACAUAGCUGCCAUGAUAAUUGUAUUCGGAAAGAAAUGAUAGCUGCAAUUAAAAUUAACAUAUCAGAAUAUCAUAUUCAUAAAUAAUAACACCUCUCGCACAUAAUAUAAUUACGCCUUAGUUAAAAUCAGCAACUACAUUCGGUAGUACCGAAUUUGCAUUCUCAGUUACCGUAGCCAAGUUUUUUCUUUCAAAUGUUUCAGCCUCAUGACCAGAGUUUACUUUUAUCUUCACCCAUCUCAUAGAUAUCUCUUGGCUUAAGGUGCACUGGCAUACACCACCCUUUGUCUUUCAUAUCAUCAAAAUAGUAUACCAUUUUAGCACUUCUUGCACUAAUGUUGGCUCAUCUUCAGUGUGUACACAUGUGUGUAUAAGAGGUUGUGUGAAGUUGACUAGGAUGAAUCCUAAAUAAUCUUUCUUCAUCGCUCUUUUAGUUAGUGUAUUAGCCCAUUUCCAUCUGAACAGUGUGACAAAUCUACCAGUGUAAUUUACCUCCAAGAUAUCUGAUAAUUUUUAGUAUGGCACUGAUCCUUGAAUUGGACGAAUGUUUGUUGUGCUUGCAAAACUCUGAGUGCCCUUAUCAGAAAAACUCUACUAUUUUGUGUUGUCAUCAUUUUUUUGCGAUCAAGUGUGCGAAAUCUGUACCCGUUCAAGUCAAAUGCUAUAUAUCUCACAAUUUCAAUUAAUGGUCAUUGGGCAAGUAGUUGUAGAUCAUUGGAGUGGGUUGUCAGUUAAUAAUCAAUGAUCUAAAAAAGUCAUACUUUCUUUGAUUAUAGUGUAACAAAUACAAACUUUCUGUCUAGAAGUGAUGAAGGUGUGUAAUUUAAUUAACACACGUACACACCUACGAAAGCGAUCCACAAAUUAUCGAUGAAGCAAUUUCUCAAAUUCUUUCUGAGUUAUUCGCCUAAUGCCUCUAAACUGUCUCUUAAUAUGAAGUAUGCACUCUCUGUAGUUGUCAUAGAAAGAGUAACCGGAGAAACCGUUUUGAGAUAAAAAAAAAAUUGGACAAAGGUAUUACGUAGAUGAUUCUACUCCUUCAGCAUUGAAUAAGACAUAUCGAUGAGCUUGCAGGCGCUCUAACUCAAUAAGUUUGAAAUGUGUCACACCACUAAAGUUUGGCAAUGGAGGGACAAACAACAAAAGGUCUAGUAGGAUAUCUAACAAAAUCAUUAACUCGAUUAUCACGAUUAAAUCAAGUUUCAACCAUUUCUUUCACGUACAAGGAAUUGAACGUCAACUUCUCAUCUAGAAUCUAACAGUCUGCAAACCCUUUUAAUGGAACCUUCAGGGAUUGCUCUAUUUCCAAAAAACCCUCUAUUUUCGCAAGAACCUUUCAAUAGGGUACAUCCGUUGAUACUAUAUAGAGCCCCCAAUUCUAACUUCAUCAACCAAAUAAAGUAUUAAAUGUACCAUGACAGUGAAGAAUGAUGGUGGGACGAUUAUCUCCAUAUGACAAACAACAAGUACUAACCGUUCUUGCAACUUGUCAAGUUGAUUCUUGUUGACAACCAUAGAAGAUAAUUCAUUCAUACAUGAUGAGAACUCAACCAACAUUGAUGCAACUUGUUUGGGAAGAACAUUCCUAAUGCAUAUCGGAAACAAUUCACAAUACAAUGUGAGAACCAUGACUUUUGAGACCCAACAUCUUACAUUGAGUCAAAUCUACACAUUAAGAAAUAUUACUAGAAUAUCCAGAUGAAACCGACACAACUUUCAACUUAUGUAAUAUUAUGUCAAUCUUUUGUUUGGCUAAUGUAAAUAUAGUUGUUGGGCAUUUUACAUCGACUUUCAGCCAUAAUAAGUCUUUAUGAAUUCGCAUAUCAACGAAGUUUAGACAUGUUUUUAAGUGGUCUUUCUUCCUUCUAUCUUUAUCAUUUAACAAUGUAAACAAGUUAUUGUCACACACAUUUUUCUCUAUAUGCGUGACGUCUAGAUUAUGUCAAAGUGGAUUGGAUUCUCAAUAUGUGAGAUAAAAAAUGCUUCGCUUCUUCCAUUGCGCCUCAUCCUCUCUCAUACUCUUUUUUUUCCUGUGAGAGGAUCUAACCCAACCAUUUGUUCCAACAAUUCUGACCCUGAAAACAACUUUCCUAGCUCUCUUUUAUAUGUGUUUCCAUCGAAUUAAGUUUUCAACAAUCUGAAACGAUGGCUACAUGGUAAAAAACAACAAGUACCAAUGAAAUACGACUUCAAAGUUUUUGGAAACCGUAGUGCAAUUGCAUCAACAUUAGAAGACGGGCAAGCCAUGCCAUUAUGAGUGUUCUAACCAGAUAACAAUUCUAACCUAGAAAAUCAUAAACUAUUCACAUCAUCCAAACUGUCAACAAAAUUAUGGCACUGACAGUUUUUCAACAGAUGAAAAGACGGGGAUGUAAAAGGGUCAAAAAGGUGCAACAUAAGGGGGUGAUUGAAAAGUUUUUGCAGCUCCACACGUGUCAGUACGUGAAUAAAAGAUGGGGAAAAGUGGGAUGUGACCCAUAUUUUUUAAAAAGAGAAUCAUGUAGUUUUGAGAAUAGUGCGACCGGAUCUACAAGUUUUACCAUCGAAUAGGCGCUUAUUUGGAUGCUACAUUCGGAAGAAAUGCAUCGGCAAAGAAAAAUCUAUCAAAAAAUACCUCGGAACCGGAGCGAAAAUUCUCAUGCAAUGGGAAUGGGAGAUAGUGCAACUCCUACUAAGAUGGUCGUUGCCUGAUAAAGAAAAUGAAGGGGCAUUAUGUCUCGUUCUCUGCCACAUCAUCCAAAAUAUCAAGAAUGCAGAAAUGGGUUGCUUUUUGAAGUUAUCAGUGAUGAGAAUGAAAUUUUUUUAUUUAGAUGUGUCUAUACACGAAUACAAUAUGAAUGGUCAAAGGAUAAAGGGAAAUAUGUCAUAAGGGUACAGAAAAAAAAACAUAGCGAGUACAUACAGAUGCAAAAGAUGAAAAAAAUCAAAACGUUGGGGCGUCGCCCACUUAGCCGCCGCAUUGGGUCAAGCAUAUCACCCUCAUAACUCUUCAUUACCUCAUCGAACCUUUGGGUAAGUAGACACAUGCGGCAGAACACUAAUGUGAAUAACAACCGAGAUCAACAUCCAUCUCAAACAAUCAGACAUCGCACGAAGUAAAGGGACAUGCAAACUUUGGAGGGCCUCCAGUUUUGGUUCGUGAAGUUUGAGAAUGAGGCAGGGGAGGAAUGAGGAAACAAAAUAGAGUGGAGUAGUAAAAGGAGUAAGAGUGACUUUAUAAAGGAAUGAUGGCCUCUUUAUCCGCCCACUCUUUUUGCUCUCUUUGUAUACCAACGGUGACAGACAAGACCAUAAAACUUUGAACCAUUAUCACUAGAAUAAGAUCUUCGCAUAUAUCAUUCAGUCAAAAGAGUCAACAAAGAGAGGAAGAAAACCAAGAAUUAUCAUUCAAACAUCGUCAUUUCAAUACAAAGGGGUUGAAAAUAACGUGCAAUAAGAAAUGAUAAACAAGAAAGAGUAGAAAGGUACAACGCUUGGGGUAGCAAGAUCAGAGGCUUUGUUAUCGGUAGUUGAAAAGCGAAAUCACUCCGUAUACUCCAUUAUCUCCCGAGAGACAGCAACAAGCAUCUCGAUUAAGAGGAACGAGACCAUGAAGUCAAAACCAAAGAGACCCAUGAGCACCACGCAGAGAAUGCAUUCUGCCAUUAGAUGGAGUUGGGGUGUCAAACAGUUAUGAGAAAAAAAUUAUUCAAUUUUGGAGCUUUGAAGAGUAGGAAGGAGAAGGAAGAAAUUGAGAAGAGUUAAAGAGAAAAGAAAAUGAGGGAUGGGAACUUAUAAGAGAAGUGUCGGUCAGAAAAAGGAAAACAAAUUCAAAAAGGGCAGAAAAAUAAAUUCUAAAAUUGAAAAUAAUAAAAUUAAUGGUAUAUCCUGAAAAUCUAACUAAUACAUCAUACCCCUACUAUAAUACACAGAACCAAAGGUCGAAAGCAUGUUUCUACUCAUCUCGCAUAUGGUUAUGUCAAUAACAAGGGAUGAAAGGGGAUGCAAGAGAAAAAAAAACCCUCACCUAAAAGCGCUAAGUUGCUUGAAUGAUGAUUGACU
rnacentral:lncRNA from 1 species